CCAAGAGAAAGCGUGAAGCUGCCAGCAUGAUCUAACUUGCAGAGAGGAAGUUAGAUGGCGAAAAUCAGCUCGCUGGUCUUGAAUUGGGGCAUGGCAGCUGAUCGAUGCUGAUGCUUCUUCAGAGUUGAUGGUUAGAUCAUGCUGUGACAGUUUCACUCUUUCCCUGU
rnacentral:pre_miRNA from 1 species